rnacentral:lncRNA from 1 species
AUUAAUUAAUUAGUUAUGCAGUUUAUUAAUUAACUAGUGCAUGCAGUAACCCGUGCGAUGCGACGGAUAGAAAAUUAGAAAAAAAUUAAACAUAUUAAUGAUAUAUCUUUUUAUAAAUUUUUAAAUAAUUUUUAUUUGAUUGAUUAUAAAUUAUUCAAAUGUGUAAGCAAUCUAUAUGUAUGAGUCAACAGUUUAAAAAUAAAUGAACACAUUACAUAUUUGCUAAAUAUACUUUAUCAUCAUAUUUUAUAUCAAUAUUAAAAAUAAACUAAUACAAAAAUCAAGUUAAUUUUCUUUUUUUCUAAAAAAAGUCCCGUCCUUAAUAAGAAUUUCUACAAAAAC